GCGAGUGUAGCUCAGUUGGUUAGAGUGCCGGCCUGUCACGCCGGAGGUCGCGGGUUCGAGCCCCGUCACUCGCGCCA
rnacentral:tRNA from 1 species